UGCAUGUCUAAGUACACGCCGCAACAAGGCGAAACCGCGAAUGGCUCAUUAAAUCAGUUAUGGUUCCUUAGAUCGUACUUUACUACUUGGAUAACUGUGGUAAUUCUAGAGCUAAUACAUGCAGCAGAGCUCCGAACCUCCGGUGACGAGCGCUUUUAUUAGACUAAGACCAAUCGGGCCUCGCGCCCGUAACCUAUGGCGACUCUGUGUAACUUUGGGCUGAUCGCACGGGCCAGUCCCGGCGACGCAUCUUUCAAGUAUCUGCCUUAUCAACUGUCGAUGGUAGGUUAUGCGCCUACCAUGGUUGCAACGGGUAACGGGGAAUCAGGGUUCGAUUCCGGAGAGGGAGCCUGAGAAACGGCUACCACAUCCAAGGAAGGCAGCAGGCGCGCAAAUUACCCACUCCCGGCACGGGGAGGUAGUGACGCGAAAUAACGAUACGGGACUCUUUCGAGACCCCGUAAUCGGAAUGAGUACACUCUAAAUCCUUUAACGAGGAUCUAUUGGAGGGCAAGUCUGGUGCCAGCAGCCGCGGUAACUCCAGCUCCAAUAGCGUAUAUUAAAGUUGUUGCGGUUAAAAAGCUCGUAGUUGGAUCUCAGUUCCAGACGGGCGGUCCGCCUUACGGUGGCUACUGCCCGGCCUGAACAACCAGCCGGUUUCCCUAGAUGAUCUUCGCUGAUUGUCUUGGGUGACCGGCACGUUUACUUUGAAAAAAUUAGAGUGCUCAAAGCAGGCGCGAAGCCUGAAUAAUGGUGCAUGGAAUAAUGGAAUAGGACCUCGGUUCUAUUUUGUUGGUUUUCGGAACACGAGGUAAUGAUUAAGAGGGACAGACGGGGGCAUUCGUAUUGCGACGCUAGAGGUGAAAUUCUUGGACCGUCGCAAGACGAACUACUGCGAAAGCAUUUGCCAAGAAUGUUUUCAUUAAUCAAGAACGAAAGUUAGAGGUUCGAAGGCGAUCAGAUACCGCCCUAGUUCUAACCAUAAACGAUGCCAACCAGCGAUCCGCCUGAGUUCUUCAAAUGACUCGGCGGGCAGCUUCCGGGAAACCAAAGUCUUUGGGUUCCGGGGGAAGUAUGGUUGCAAAGCUGAAACUUAAAGGAAUUGACGGAGGGGCACCACAAGCAGUGGAUCUUGCGGCUUAAUUUGACUCAACACGGGAAAACCUACCCGGCCCGGACACUGGAAGGAUUGACAGAUUAAGAGCUCUUUCUUGAUUCAGUGGGUGGUGGUGCAUGGCCGUUCUUCGUCCGUGGAGCGAUUUGUCUGGUUAAUUCCGAUAACGAACAAGAUUCUAGCCAACUAAAUAGGCGCUCCGAUCGCUUAAAGUCGGACGUUCUUCUUAGAGGGACAAGCGGCGCUUAGCCGCACGAGACAGAGCAAUAACAGGUCUGGAAUGCCCUUAGAUGUCCGGGGCCGCACGCGCGCUACACUGAAGGAACCAGCGUGUGCUUUCCCUGUCCGGUAGGACUGGGUAACCCGCUAACCUCCUUCGUGAUAGGGAUAGGGGCUUGUAACUAUUCCCCUUGAACGAGGAAUUCCUAGUAAGCACGAGUCAUCACCUCGUGUUGAUUACGUCCCUGCCUCUUGUCCACACCGCCCGUCGCUACUCCCGAUUGAAUGACCUAGUGAGGUCUUCGGACUGACUCUCGGAACGGUCCUCGCGGCCGCGCCGGCGUGUUCGGAAAGAUGACCGAACUCGAUCGUUUAAAGGGAGUAAA
rnacentral:rRNA from 1 species